rnacentral:rRNA from 1 species
UACGUAGGUGGCAAGCGUUGUCCGGAUUUAUUGGGUUUAAAGGGUGCGUAGGCGGUUAUAUAAGUCAGUGCUGAAAUAUCCCGGCUUAACCGGGAGGGUGGCAUUGAUACUGUAUGACUUGAGUAAAGUUGAGGUUGGCGGAAUUGACGGUGUAGCGGUGAAAUGCUUAGACAUCGUCAAGAACACCGAUAGUGAAGACAGCUAACUAAGCUUUAACUGACGCUGAGGCACGAAAGUGUGGGGAUCAAACAGG